CACUCGUGUUGGUCACAUGGCUGUGACAUUAGAAACUCCUCACAGCUACUCAAUUCUAACACGAGUACCGUGCCGAGUGCUGCUCAGUGUGUGUGAGUGCGCCUUCUUCCCUGAACUAUGGGCGCCUGCCUGGGAGUCUGCUCCUUGCUCAGCUGUGCUUCCUGUCUCUGUGGUACAGCACCAUGCCUUCUCUGUGGCUGUUGCCCAUCAACAAAAAACUCUACUAUCACCCGACUAAUCUUCUCAAUUUUUCUACUGCUUGGAACUCUUGUGGCAUGUAUCAUGAUCAUACCUGGAGUGGAAGCCGGGCUUAAAAAGGUUCCGUUAUUAUGCACCUCUUCUACAAGCAUCUCUGGCUCUUUAAACUGUGAUGUCAUGGUUGGACACCAAGCUGUGUACCGCAUGUGCUUUGCUCUGGCUGCAUUUUUCUUUCUUUUUGUCAUUUUAAUGAUCUGUGUGAGAAGCAGUCGGGAUCCAAGAGCAGCAGUGCAGAAUGGGUUUUGGUUUUUUAAGUUCUUGAUAUUAGUUGGAAUAACAGUUGGAGCAUUCUAUAUUCCUAGUGGAACAUUCACCAUAGUGUGGUAUUACUUUGGCAUGGUAGGUGGUUUCCUAUUCAUUCUGAUCCAGCUCAUUCUCAUCAUUGACCUUGCCCAUGCAUGGAGUCAGUCUUGGUUGCAGCAUGCAGAGAAUGGGAACAGCAAGUGCUGGUAUGCAGCACUUGUUAUAUGCACAUUCCUGCUCUAUACUGCUUCCGUCAUCGCCAUUGUGUUCUUGUAUAUCUAUUACACCAGCUCAAAUGAAUGUGUCCACAACAAAGUUUUCAUCAGUCUCAAUCUAAUUUUUUGUGUGAUCAUUUCUAUCAUUUCCAUUCUGCCAAAGGUCCAGGAUGCUCAGCCCCAUUCUGGAUUACUGCAAGCAUCAGUGAUUACAUUGUAUACAAUGUUUGUCACCUGGUCUGCCAUGGCCAAUGUUCCAAAUAAAAAUUGUAAUCCGACAUUACUUGCUAUUGCCUCCAACACCACCACUGCUUCCUCCUCUUCUGCUCCAGCCCAGUGGUGGGAUGCUCCCAGCAUUGUGGGUUUAGCUAUCUUCAUCAUCUGUACAUUGUUCAUAAGCCUUCGUUCCUCCAAUAACCAACAGGUGAACAAGCUGAUGUUGACAGAGGACAGCUCUGGAGAUACAGGUGGCCCCAUUGUGGAAAGUGGUGGAGAAAACCGAGCAUAUGAUAAUGAAGAAGAUUCUGUGUCCUACAGUUACAGUUUCUUUCAUUUUUGUCUUGUACUUGCUUCUCUCUACAUCAUGAUGACACUAACCAACUGGUAUUUACCUGGAGAAAAUGGAAGUUAUUUGACCAGCCCUUGGUCAGCUGUUUGGGUGAAGAUCGCUUCUAGCUGGGCUGGACUCCUACUGUAUGUUUGGACAUUGGUUGCUCCACUUAUCCUCUCUGACCGGGACUUUGGCUAAAUUUGAUGUUCUUAAACUGUGUUGUGACUUUCCCAAUACCUCCAAAAAUGUUUAUAUCAGUGCCUUUUUUUGGUAUGAAGAAAUAGGACCUAGUUAAAUGUAUGUUGUAGGUAAACCUGCUCUAGCCCAAUUCAAUAAAGUGUUUGGGAAACUUUGUUUUAUCCCGUAAAGGAAUAGUUCAGUGUGAAAAUAAAACCGGUUUAAAUAAAUAGGCUAGUCAGCGACUUGAAGGGGCCCGCAUGGUACAUAAUCUGUUCAGUGAGUUUGCAAUUGAUCCUUAGCAUUCAGCUCAGAUUCAAAAGCAACAGAUAUUACCCAUCUGGCCCCCCCUCAAGUCUCUGAUUGGUUACUGCCUGGUAACCAGUCAGUGUAAACACAGAGAGCUGAAAAGCAGGAAGUAGUGUUCUGGCUAUUAUAUUAGACAUCCAGUCACUCCAGCCUUUAUACAUUACAUUUAUGUAGUGCCAUGCAUCAAAUGUUUCCCGUCCAACAGCUAGUGCCUGUCACAUAUAGGUCAUGCAGCCUGUGUGACAUUUCCUAAGGCCCUUUUAAAUAACUUAUUGUGAAAACUACAUACUGUUAAACUUAGUGCUAUGCAAUCUGCCUACUCUUUCUGAUUGUGCUUGGCUUGUAAAUAGAAUUAAAACAUGAAGAGCUAACUUACUAAUAGAUGCAUAUGAUACAUGCCUUUAGUCCCCAGAGUUCAUUUAGACAAGCAAGUAACAGGACAUUCCAGGAGAAGCCCAAGUGCAGAAUGUGACUCAGAGCACAACACCCGGGCACCAUGCAAAUUACAAGAUGCAGGGUACUCUGCUCUUUGUAUCUUGGCCUUUAUUAAAUAAACAAAGCUGCAACUUUACUUCAACAAACAUCCAAAAAGAAUAAUGCUGCAAUAUUAUGACAUAAUUUGUAUUCAAAGUAAAUCAUAUUUUUCUCUAAUCAUUUCCCUAGUCCAGACAUGAAAUUGCACUUUUUUUAAGGAAGGGAAACAAACAGACAUUCUCUCUUAAGCUAUUACAUAAGUAUUAUAUGUUCUUACUUGUCUAGAAUAUUAAUACUUUGUGUGCUUUAUUAACCUACAGCAGAAUGGAGCACUUUUGUACAAUAUUUUUAUACUAUUUUUUUGAUUGUUACAUUAUAAAUAAACCAGUUUACAAUUA